rnacentral:rRNA from 1 species
AACGAACGCUGGCGGCAUGCCUAACACAUGCAAGUCGAACGGGAUCCGGCCUUCGGGCCGGUGAGAGUGGCGGACGGGUGAGUAACGCGUGGGAACCUGCCCAUUGGUCUGGGAUAACUGCGGGAAACUGCAGCUAAUACCGGAUGUACCCGCGAGGGGAAAGAUUUAUCGCCGAUGGAGGGGCCCGCGUCAGAUUAGGUAGUUGGUGAGGUAACGGCUCACCAAGCCUACGAUCUGUAGCUGGUCUGAGAGGAUGAUCAGCCACACUGGGACUGAGAUACGGCCCAGACUCCUACGGGAGGCAGCAGUGGGGAAUAUUGGACAAUGGGGGCAACCCUGAUCCAGCAAUGCCGCGUGAGUGAUGAAGGCCUUAGGGUUGUAAAGCUCUUUCAGUGGGGAAGAUAAUGACUGUACCCACAGAAGAAGCCCCGGCUAACUCCGUGCCAGCAGCCGCGGUAAGGCACGACUGU